rnacentral:rRNA from 1 species
UACGAAGGGGACUAGCGUUGUUCGGAAUUACUGGGCGUAAAGCGCGCGUAGGCGGAUCGCUAAGUCAGGGGGUGAAAUCCCCAAGGCUCAACCUUGGAACUGCCUUUGAUACUGACGAUCUGGAGAUCGGGAGAGGUGAGUGGAAUUCCGAGUGUAGAGGUGAAAUUCGUAGAUAUUCGCAAGAACACCAGUGGCGAAGGCGGCUAACUGGUCCGGUUCUGACGCUGAGGCGCGAAAGCGUGGGGAGCAAACAGG